rnacentral:rRNA from 1 species
AUGAUCGAUCGGCGGCCUCCUUCAAGGAGGACCACCGGACACAAUGAGUUCGCUAGUUUGGAACUGCCGUGGGGGUGCCAGACAGUUCAUGAGGUUUUGUCCCUCUGCAAAGCCAAUUCCCGGGGGCUGGUUUUUCUCUCCGAAACUAGACAAGCCUCAAGCAAGAUGAAGAAUCUUAAAUGGAGAUUGCAAAUGAAGGGUUUUGCGGGUGUAUCCAGUGAUGGUUUGAGUGGGGGCUUGGCCCUCUUUUGGGGUGAGAAUCUGCAAGUGACAGUAUUGGACUCAUGUGCACGGUAUAUAGACGUGCAAAUUGUAGAUGAAGCAAAUGAUAAAUCAUGGAGGAUGACUUAUGUUUAUGGAGAACCAAGGGUGGAGAAUAGACAUCGUAUGUGGAGUUCUCUAUCAAAUUUACGAGCUUUCUCUUCGGAAACGUGGUUGGUUUGUGGAGACUUUAAUGAAGCAAUGUGGCAACACGAACACCUCUCCCAUACUCAACGGUCUGAAAAUCAAAUGCAACAGUUUAGGGACUGUUUACUCUCUUGUGAGUUGAUGGACUUGGGGUUCUGCGGGAUCUCAUAUACAUAUGAUAAUGGUCAAGUGGGCAACAGAACGUCCGGGUGCGUUUGGAUAGAGCAUGUGCAGACGAAGCCUGGAAAGAUUUGUUUCCCUUCACACAAGUUGAUCAUCUCGCGUCUUCAUGCUCGGACCACUGCCCUUUGCAGGUGCGGCUAUCACAUGUGGAACCGCCCAAGGCUAGAGCUACGCCCAGAUAUGAGAUCAUGUGGGAAUGGCAUCCAGUACUGGCUUCUGUCGUAG